AUAUAGCUGACGAGUUCCAAAUAGGACGAAACGCGCGUUCUUGAU
rnacentral:hammerhead_ribozyme from 1 species